rnacentral:lncRNA from 1 species
UUUUAUUUUUGUUUGUUUUGGUUUUUUCCUCUACUUUUGUUUUGUUUUGUCAUAAUGGAACGCAGCUUCUUUUCCUGGCUGCCCUGAAGGCUUGCAGCAUCACUUGCUCCUUUGUCAGUCUGUAAAGUGCCCCUGGCAUACUGGGAGGCACUGACAGCCUUGUUACCCUGAUAAUUUCCCUUUUGGAAGAAGCACAUCUACUUGAAACAGUAACAGAAACACCAUACCAAACAGAGGGGUAAAAUCAAGCCAACACAGCAGAAAUUGUUUAAGUGGCAAAAGUAAAGGGAGCUUUGUCUUCUGGGACAGGCAAGUAGAUUUUAAUUUUGUUCAGAGCUUCUAGGGAAGAUGUGUAUUACUAAGAACUAAUUUAUUGAUCCAUUGGGAGAAAAUCUUCAAGUACCUAUUAUGUGUUACUGGAUGACAAUUUUUGGCCUUGUUUCUUCAGUUUUCCUAGGACUGUUUCUCUCCUUUACCCUAUGGCAGAUUUCAUGGUUGAGAGAACCCUUAGAGCAUUUGCACAGGAGUUUGCAUGCAAAUGCUAGAAAUUACCUUGAAUUAAGAAAAUACAAUGCUGCUGUUUUAUGGUGUGGGAGAAGGAUUCCUUGUCAGGAAUGGGUUGGUCAUGAGGUAAGU